UACAGAGGGUGCAAGCGUUAAUCGGAAUUACUGGGCGUAAAGCGUGCGCAGGCGGCUUUGCAAGACAGAUGUGAAAUCCCCGGGCUCAACCUGGGAACUGCAUUUGUGACUGCAAGGCUAGAGUACGGCAGAGGGGGAUGGAAUUCCGCGUGUAGCAGUGAAAUGCGUAGAUAUGCGGAGGAACACCAAUGGCGAAGGCAAUCCCCUGGGCCUGUACUGACGCUCAUGCACGAAAGCAUGGGGAGCAAACAGG
rnacentral:rRNA from 1 species